GAUGAACGCUAGCGGCAGGCCUAAUACAUGCAAGUCGAACGGGAUCCAGAUCAAAGCUUGCUUUGGUUUGGUGAGAGUGGCGCACGGGUGCGUAACGCGUGAGCAACCUACCCUUGUUAGGGGGAUAGCCCGGCGAAAGUCGGAUUAAUACCGCAUGACAUCAUUGAGAGGCAUCUUUCGAUGAUCAAAGAUUUAUCGGACAAGGAUGGGCUCGCGUGACAUUAGCUAGUUGGUAAGGUAACGGCUUACCAAGGCUACGAUGUCUAGGGGCUCUGAGAGGAGAAUCCCCCACACUGGUACUGAGACACGGACCAGACUCCUACGGGAGGCAGCAGUAAGGAAUAUUGGUCAAUGGACGGAAGUCUGAACCAGCCAUGCCGCGUGCAGGAAGACGGCCCUAUGGGUUGUAAACUGCUUUUAUACGGGAACAAACGUCGGUACGGGUACCGGUCUGAGUGUACCGUAAGAAUAAGGAUCGGCUAACUCCGUG
rnacentral:rRNA from 1 species